rnacentral:rRNA from 1 species
GGUGGGUGAGAACUGAUGAGGGACACACGCGUGUGUGGACUUGUGGUGAUCCUAAGCUGCCGAGAAAAGCCUCGACGUGAGGGCAUAACGCGCCCGUACCCUAAACCGACUCAGGUGGUCAGGUAGAGUAUACCGAGGCGUUCGAGUGAAUCGUGGUUAAGGAACUCGGCAAAAUUCCUCCGUAACUUCGGGAUAAGGAGGACCCCGUGACUUCCCAGUGUCUUGCAUGCUGGUGGGGAUGUGGGGUCGCAGAGAAUAGGGAGAAGCGACUGUUUAUCAAAAACACAGGUGCGUGCGAAGCCGUAAGGCGAUGUAUACGCACUGACGCCUGCCCGGUGCUGGAAGGUUAAGAGGAACCGUCAACACCCCCCGGGGUGUGAAGCGGUGAAUUUAAGCCCCAGUAAACGGCGGUGGUAACUAUAACCAUCCUAAGGUAGCGAAAUUCCUUGUCGGGUAAGUUCCGACCUGCACGAAUGGCGUAACGACUUCUCCGCUGUCUCAACCGCGAACUCGGUGAAAUUGCAGUACGAGUAAAGAUGCUCGUUUCGCGCAGAAGGACGGAAAGACCCCGGGACCUUUACUAUAGCUUGGUAUUGGUGUUCGCUUGGACUUGUGUAGGAUAGGUGGGAGACUGUGAAGCUGCCGCGCCAGCGGUGGUGGAGUCGUCGUUGAAAUACCAUUCUGGUUCAAGCGGUCACCUCAACCUAGACCCGUGAUCCGGGUUGGGGACAGUGCCUGGUGGGUAGUUUAACUGGGGCGGUUGCCUCCUAAAAUGUAACGGAGGCGCUCAAAGGUUCCCUCAGCCUGGUUGGUAAUCAGGUGGCGAGUGCAAGUGUACAAGGGAGCUUGACUGUGAGACCGACGGGUCGAGCAGGUGCGAAAGCAGGAACUAGUGAUCCGGCCAUGGCACGUGGGUGCGUGGUCGCUCAACGGAUAAAAGGUACCCCGGGGAUAACAGGCUGAUCUUGCCCAAGAGUCCAUAUCGACGGCAUGGUUUGGCACCUCGAUGUCGGCUCGUCGCAUCCUGGGGCUGGAGUUGGUCCCAAGGGUUGGGCUGUUCGCCCAUUAAAGCGGUACGCGAGCUGGGUUCAGAACGUCGUGAGACAGUUCGGUCCCUAUCCUCUGUGCGCGCAGGAAACUUGAGAAGGGCCGUCCCUAGUACGAGAGGACCGGGAUGGACGAACCUCUGGUGUGCCAGUUGUACCGCCAGGUGCAUGGCUGGUUGGCUACGUUCGGAAGGGAUAACCGCUGAAAGCAUCUAAGCGGGAAGCCUGCUCCAAGAUGAGGUUUCCACGCCCCCUCGUGGGGUGAGAGGCCCCCGCCAGACUAGCGGGUUGAUAGGCCAGAGGUGGAAGCACAGCAAUGUGCUCGUGAGCCGACUGGUACUAAUGGGCCAACACU